rnacentral:rRNA from 1 species
UACGUAGGUGGCAAGCGUUGUCCGGAUUUACUGGGCGUAAAGAGCGCGCAGGCGGUCGUUCAAGUCGCGUGUGAAAGCCCCCGGCUCAACUGGGGAGGGUCACGCGAUACUGAUCGACUCGAAGGCAGGAGAGGGUAGUGGAAUUCCCGUGUAGUGGUGAAAUGCGUAGAUAUCGGGAGGAACACCAGGGGCGAAGGCGACUACCUGGCCUGUUCUUGACGCUGAGGCGCGAAAGCUAGGGGAGCAAACGGG